CAGCAUAGAUACUACAUACACACAUGGAUAUGAAACAGGAAGUCGGUAUCCAAUUAACUCUUUGAAGUUCAUCUGUAAACGUCAUAACCAGCAUAGCUCUAUCCUUGGCGCUUUUCUCUCUGUCUAUGUUUUUAAGAAUUUUCUUGACUCACUUAUUUUUGUGAAAGAAGGCCUCAUGUUUACAUGACAAAAUUAGAAGACCUCCAUUUUUCUUUGUAACCACCUUUUCUAGACUCUCGAACGGAGUUAGCUAGUAAGUCUUGGAAUCAUAAUAGUGUAUUGUUUGUUACAUGGACUGAACUAUUCUCGUGUCAACGUAAUGAGAAAUGACUGAGAUAAUAGCCAAAAACUAGUUUUUUAUAUUAAUUUUGUAACCACCUUUUUGAGACUUCUGCACCAGGUAUGAACAAGUUACUACUUUGAGUGUAUUCAUUAAGGUCUCUUAUAUAGACUGUUUAUGGUUUCAUUUUUCUAGAUGCUAUGUUUCAAAAUGAGAACUGAGUAGUGAAAGAAUAGGUUAUUUACCAAGAAACACAAGCAGGAUUUCAGUGGCAUUGAUGAGACAUUGUUACAUGAUUGUAAAGCUUCAUAUUUAUGCUACCACAGAGAACUAUCAAGAUAGAGAUGAUGUACAUUACAGUAUGUACUGUAUGGUGAUACAGUAAGUGCGGCUUAUAAUAAUUGUU
rnacentral:lncRNA from 1 species